AUCUAGGUGGCACAAUGGAUAGAGCACCAGCUCUGAAGUCAGGAGGACCUGAGUUCAAAUCUGAGCCCAGAUG
rnacentral:tRNA from 1 species